rnacentral:rRNA from 1 species
AUGGACCAUUCCAUCCCUUUUUCCCGUGCAUAUGCAUCGGACUCGGAUGACGAUGGUCCCGAUGAACAAGUUGAUGCGGAGGGGUUCACGGUGAAGGAGGCCGAAGCUUUCGAGAAGGUAUUCGGUCGGGAUCAUCGGACUACAUUGUUCAAGGAUGUUAGUAUCGCGGAUGAAGCCGUGGUAGAUGGUGGCCAAUGUGUAUCUCUUGGGGUUAGGCCAAGCUCUCACCGUGAUUUGGGAGACGACAAGAACCGGGUGCUAAAGGGUCUAAGUUUGAAACCUUUUUGGAAUUGA